rnacentral:rRNA from 1 species
GAUGAACGCUGGCGGCGUGCCUAAUACAUGCAAGUCGAGCGAACAGACGAGGAGCUUGCUCCUCUGACGUUAGCGGCGGACGGGUGAGUAACACGUGGAUAACCUACCUAUAAGAAUGGGAUAACUUCGGGAAACCGGAGCUAAUACCGGAUAAUAUAUUGAACCGCAUGGUUCAAUAGUGAAAGACGGUUUUGCUGUCACUUAUAGAUGGAUCCGCGCCGCAUUAGCUAGUUGGUAAGGUAACGGCUUACCAAGGCAACGAUGCGUAGCCGACCUGAGAGGGUGAUCGGCCACACUGGAACUGAGACACGGUCCAGACACCUACGAGAGGCAGCAGUAGGGAAUCUUCCGCAAUGGGCGAAAGCCUGACGGAGCAACGCCGCGUGAGUGAUGAAGGUCUUCGGAUCGUAAAACUCUGUUAUUAGGGAAGAACAAAUGUGUAAGUAACUAUGCACGUCUUGACGGUACCUAAUCAGAAAGCCACGGCUAACUACGUG